rnacentral:rRNA from 1 species
AUUGAACGCUGGCGGCAGGCCUAACACAUGCAAGUCGAACGAGUGGCGGACGGGUGAGUAAUGUCUGGGAAAUUGCCUGAUGGAGGGGGAUAACUACGGGAAACGGUAGCUAAUACCGCAUACCAUCAGAUGUGCCCAGAUGGGAUUGGCUAGUUGGUGGGGUAACGGCUCACAAAGGCGCCGAUCCCGAGCUGGUCUGAGAGGAGGACCGGCCACCCUGGAACUGAGACACGGUCCAGCCGCCUACGGGAGGCAGCAGUGGGGAAUAUUGCACAAUGGGCGCAAGCCUGAUGCAGCCAUGCCGCGUGUAUGAAGAAGGCCUUCGGGUUGUAAAGUACUUUCAGCGGGGAGGCGUUACCCGCAGAAGAAGCACCGGCUAACUCCGUGCCAGCAGCCGCGGUAAUAC